AACGAACGCUGGCGGCGUGGAUAAGACAUGCAAGUCGAACGGAGAUUCUUUAGAGCUUGCUUUAAAGGGUCUUAGUGGCGAACGGGUGAGUAACACGUGAGUUACCUGCCCCGAAGUGGGAGAUAGCCCGGAGAAAUUCGGAUUAAUACCCCGUGUGCUCGAAAGAUUAAAGGCGGCGCAAGCUGUCGCUUCGGGAUGGGCGCGGGGCCUAUCAGCUAGUUGGCGGGGUAACGGCCCACCAAAGCGAUGACGGGUAGCUGAUCUGAGAGGAGGAUCAGUCACACUGGAACUGAGACACGGUCCAGACACCUACGGGUGGCAGCAGUCGAGAAUCAUUCGCAAUGGGCGAAAGCCUGACGGUGCGACGCCGCGUGGAGGAUGAAGGCCCUAGGGUCGUAAACUCCUGUCAUCAGGGAGUAAAGACUCGCGUAGUCACUGACGCGGGUCCUGAUAGUACCUGAAGAGGAAGGGACGGCAAACUUCGUGCCAGCAGCCGCCGUAACGC
rnacentral:rRNA from 1 species